GAUGAACGCUGGCGGCGUGCCUAAUACGUGCAAGUCGAGCGAACAGAUAAGGAGCUUGCUCCUUUGACGUUAGCGGCGGACGGGUGAGUAACACGUGGAUAACCUACCUAUAAGACUGGGAUAACUUCGGGAAACCGGAUCUAAUACCGGAUAACAUAUUGAACCGCAUGGUUCAAUAGUGAAAGGCGGCUUUGCUGUCACUUAUAGAUGGAUCCGCGCCGUAUUAGCUAGUUGGUAAGGUAACGGCUUACCAAGGCAACGAUACGUAGCCGACCUGAGAGGGUGAUCGGCCACACUGGAACUGAGACACGGUCCAGACUCCUACGGGAGGCAGCAGUAGGGAAUCUUCCGCAAUGGGCGAAAGCCUGACGGAGCAACGCCGCGUGAGUGAUGAAGGUCUUCGGAUCGUAAAACUCUGUUAUCAGGGAAGAACAAAUGUGUAAGUAACUGUGCACAUCUUGACGGUACCUGAUCAGAAAGCCACGGCUAACUACGUG
rnacentral:rRNA from 1 species